AGGUGUUGAGUAUGUGACCCAAACGUGGUGGGUAAACAUUUAUUAGUCCAGUGUCGAGGAUAUGAUCAUUGAAUCGGUGGGAGAAUUAAACGAGAUAUGGCAGGUUGUCAUGUUGCACUUAGUCAGCGUUAAAAGCAAGACCACCUGGUCUUAUUGGAUACCUGCGUCGUUUAGCCAAGAUAUCUCGAAAGUUUUUUUCAUCGUAAAUUGUCAAGUGACCUUUCAAUAAAGUACGAAAAAAUAUCCUGCUCCAGAUGAAUUAUAAUAAUAUGUAAAAAUGGCCAAUGUAUCGAUAGUAAUUAUAGAUAUUGUCAAAUGUGACCCGUGGCACAGAUUCUUAUCCAUCUUUAUUGGAGAAAAUACAUUUGAUCGUAAUUAUUGUAACGUCUAACGGAGCAGAUCCCGACAUCGUCCACCCUUGGGCAUCGAUCGAUUCCCAGUCUCGCGAUCGAUGAAUUUCUCGCGUCGAUCCUAAGCCACGGUAAAUCGAGAGUCUUACUGGUGGAUACAAGAUGAGUAAGAUCGAUACUGAUAGCACAUGAUCGAGAGUCAGUGCACAAUAAUGUAGAUCGAGAAAUAUAAGGGCGUGAUCGUGGAUCGAAUUAAACCGAGCAUAACUAACAUGUCUAUGAGUCUAUUCUUUUAUAGAAUUAAAAUUUUUUUUUAACUAUCUACAACUAAAAAGAUCAUUCAUGCUAAAUUAUCAAUCCCCGAUAAAUCAGUAUUAUUUUUUUUUCAACUUUAUUUGUUUAUUUGUCUAUUUUUAUGCAUAUGCUGAGAAUGCUGUAUAAAAAAUACGAGGAGACUGAGAAUAAAAAAAAUAACACGUACAACUACUCAAGUGUCGGAGAUAAGAGUGUGUCCAUAUCAAGACGUGCUUCCAAGCAGCCGGCGCACUUUACUUGCAUGCACGGAAGUGGAACAAGAAGUAAAGUUGAGAUGCGAAGAUGAAAGAGAAAAAAGUAAAACAAAACAGUUGCCGACAGCGGGCCCGUGCUUACGUGGUUCACUCUGUUAUUUUGCUGUCAGUAAUUCGGUAGUCUUGUACUCCUUGAAGUUGUCGUCCAGCUGAUGAGAUGAUGCUGCGUUAACUGGAUAUACAACCACUAAAAACCCACAAAUAAGUAUCAAUUGCCGAUUUUUUUGCAAGAAAUGCUGAAAAAAAAAAAUCACUGAAAUAUCCCUGAGUCUGAGUUAUGGAUACAUUCACGAUUUCUUCGAGUCGUAUGUAGUUGCUGUCGCCAUGAAGAAGGCGCCCCAUUUGCUUUAUUGAAUUAGGUUACAUGAUUUACGAUACCGCCUACUGAACUCGCACAUUAUGCGAUGUCGAUUACACCAGACACGCGGCAUUGAUUUCUUCCCUGAUUCUGCAGAUCUCAAACUAAUGAAGAGUUAGAGACCAUUCGAAGUACUUGGAUUCUGAUUGCAAAGGAAAUGGAGACCAUUUCAAGGAUUGAGUGCAAAUUGUAAAAGAGUUGGAGAUGUUAGAGAUCGUCUAGACGUUGAAGGCAGAGUGGG